UGCUACUAAUAAGCUAACAUUAGCUGGUCUGAAGUUCAGAAGGCCAGAGAUGCGGACAAGUUGGCGGACGAGGCUGAGGGCAGUGGGGCUGAAGACAGUAUAACAAGCGGAGUGGAAUGCGAGUCAGUCACACUAUGGCGAGCACUAAUGAAACAGCAGAACUGGAAGACCCGUUGCAGGUUCCUGUAGGUGGGCAGAUCCAGUCAGUAUUGUAUCACUACAUAUGAUUGAUUAGAGUCCCUGUCCUUUGCACCAACAAGCUGGAUGCCAACUGCCAUGAAACAAGCAGCAGCAGAAGCAAUAUCGUGGCAGACCAUCAGGAGUGGCUGCACCGUAGCAUCAAUGUGACCACGGGCCCUCACUCCCCCGGGCAAACCCUCACGUUCCCACCAGGUUGCCUUUCCCCUAACAUCAGGCAGGGUGGCCGUGGCCUCAAACUGUUUUAGCUCCCUACAGAGUGCACCAUCUAUCACAUGCUCCAUAAACUGAUCCCGCAGCACAACUUCUGCAUUUAACAUGCCACUAGGUACACACCGUUUUACAGCCUCCAUCCAGUUCAUUAAAGCGUCUGUCCUUCUUGCCCUGACUGACAGGGGCCCCAAAAAAUAAUUAUAAACUACUAUCAAAUUAUAUUAUAUUAUACAUUAUAUAAACCAUCAUCAUUGAGUAUAAAUAUAUUUCAAAUAUAAUAAUAAAAUGAAUGAUCUCUUUGUUUUUUCUUGUUUUUGGCAGUAAAAGUUAAAAAUCCCCAUUGACAAAAAAGUAAACCUCCAUAUUGACCGACCA